UCGUAAAGGCUGUCCUUGGACUUUAAAUCUCUUGUUUAGCUAGCAAAGCUCUCAAGCUGGUGAUCCCCAGGUCACAGAUAUUGUACCAGUUAUUUAUCGCUGCAAAAAUGCUGCCUAACAAGCCACCCUAAAGGCACUGAAACAAGGAACCAAAGAAAUGGAGUCAAAUGAGAACUUGCCCCUUUUAUGAAGGAACUUGCCGUUGAAUGGGAGAGAUAGGCAAGUCAACCAGGGACCACAGUACAGAGUGAUCUGUCUCCAUCACUUUGGAUUAUGAACACCAGGAGUGAUAUACAAGAACAUAACAAAGACUAUAAACUGAAGAGGACAGGUCAGGAAAGGUUGUUCUAAGCCUGAAACAACCCAAAG